rnacentral:rRNA from 1 species
ACGGGAGGCAGCAGUGGGGAAUAUUGGACAAUGGGGGCAACCCUGAUCCAGCGACGCCGCGUGAGUGAAGAAGUAUUUCGGUAUGUAAAGCUCUAUCAGCAGGGACGAUAAUGACGGUACCUGACUAAGAAGCUCCGGCUAAAUACGUGCCAGCAGCCGCGGUAAUACGUAUGGAGCAAGCGUUAUCCGGAUUUACUGGGUGUAAAGGGAGCGUAGACGGCUUUGCGAGUCUGAAGCGAAAGCCCGGGGCUCAACCCCGGAACUGCUUUGGAAACUGUAGAGCUAGAGUACAGGAGAGGUAAGCGGAAUUCCUAGUGUAGCGGUGAAAUGCGUAGAUAUUAGGAGGAACACCAGUGGCGAAGGCGGCUUACUGGACUGUAACUGACGUUGAGGCUCGAAAGCGUGGGGAGCAAACAGGAUUAGAUACCCUGGUA